GAGCCGGAGGCCCCAGAGCCCAUCACCCGCGGGCCAGCUAUACACCGGCCUGCAGUCAACUCUAACCCAGGACUGCCAGUGAGUGUGGUGUGUCCCGUGGAAGAGGAGGAGGAGGCAGCCGCCGCCGCCGCCGCCGCCGCCGCCGCCACCACCACCACCACCACCACCGAAAAGGAACCCAAGAGUUACUGGAGCCGCCACUACAUCGUGGAUCUGCUGGCUGUGGUGGUGCCAGCUGUGCCAACGGUGGCCUGGCUCUGCCGCUCCCAGAGGCGUCAGGGCCAGCCCAUUUACAACAUCAGCUCCCUGCUGCGGGGCUGCUGCACAGUGGCCUUGCACUCCAUCCGCAGGAUCAGCUGUUCACUGAGCCAGCCGAGCGCUGGCUCAUCCGGUGGCUCCCAGCUCUGAGGCUGCCAGCCCUCCACUUUGGGCAGCCUGACCAUUGAUUGUAGGAUGCCACUUGCUGCCCUCCAUCCCACCCCCACCCCUAUUGGCUUCCUCUUAACUUCCUUUCAGGCCCAGAAUAGCGCCCCCCACUCAAGAUAUCAGUAGUGUCAGGGAUUCAGAAAGGCAUCGCAAAAACGUCAAGAGAAAGGGAUUAAGAUGGCUAAUUGAAGAGGGAGAAACUGGUAAGAGCGCCCCUCCCUCUGUCCCCUCGGCCCACCCAGACUCUAGACAAGGCAGGCCCUGCUCAGAAAGUCUCUGGCUUAUUGAUCUGAGGAUCCUCCCCUCUUUUGAACCAUUCUUGUCAGCACCUGGCCCACUCCAUGCCUUCUCUUCCAGGCCACCCCUUGCCCCUCUCCUUGGGCUCCUGGACCAGUAUUACCUCCUCAAAUGGAGGCAGCCAGGACUCAAGAUGUCCAAUACCCAUCACUACUCCUAACAUGCUUAUCGUGGGAUUGGGAGGGAGCCCUUACCCAAGCCCCAGCUCCCCUUGGGCAAAUCUGCCAGCACAGAGAAGGCAAGGCUAAGGCCCUUCACCUUCUGAGAUGAGUCCACCUCAUCUGUAGCCUAGAGGUACCUCAGUGAGUUGGGAAAGUCAGAGGUCACUUACCACAGGCCCCUUUGGCCCCAAGCCCUAUCUAUGUUUGCACUCAGCUCCCUGCCCAUCCCAGAAACCCCGGGCUGCUUGCUUUCUGGGAUGAGGACUUCUUUCACCCAGCUGACUCCAGAGGAGGAUGAUGGAAGAUGGCUAUCAGGGGGCACCUCCAGAUGAGUUUCUGAAGCCACAACAUCUGCCUCUCCAUGCCAAAGCAGGGUCCCCCAAGUGUGCUUCCCAAGCAGGGGAAUGGCCAGGUAGUGUGAGCCUGUCUGUGCUGCUCCUGGUCCAGGCCUAGUCAGCCUGAGAAAAUGCUGCGAUCCUCACUUCCCUCUUCUUCCCAGAGAGGUCAUACCUACCUGACUGGCCCACCUCCAGGGAGCUGGUAGAGCCCUGCAUCUCACCCUCUCUGGCAUGGGAGCCUCCCUGGUUCUCUGCUAAGGUCGCUUGUCCUCACUGUUGCUCCAGUGGCCACUACUUGACUCAUGAGUUCUGCCCCACCACUCUGUGCCCUCCAAAGGGGCACCUGCAUGCACUGGGAGUGGGCAGCAGCCAGCCUAGCCGUCAGGGCAAGAGCCCUCUGCCGUGCGCUUUGUGCCUCCAAGCCCCCAUCCCCACCUUGGUUGGGGCUGCAGACCUGCCAUCCUUGGUGGAACGUUCCUACCCCAGCUGAACCAAACCCAAAUGCCUGAGGCCUCGCUGGGGCUGCCCCAUAGGACACUGGGGUGGUACCAUGGAGAGACAGGGGAUAAAACUGAUCCAAAGCCAAGCCAGGACUGGCCACGGACCCAGUCUCCUGCGCCGUGUACUCAUGGAGCUCCAUAUGUCUCCCUAGCAACAGUUGAAGCUCUGCUGAGAAAAAUAAAUGUAUGAACUAUAUUUGACAACAUAAAAUCCAUAUAUUUUUCACCAUUUGGCAUUUAGUCCAACUUUGCAGCCCCUCUGUUCCAUGUCUUGCUGUCUGGGCCUUCUUGUCGUGUCUCGUGUUUGGUGGACUUGGGCAGGGCUACAACUGUGGUCUACUCUGUUCCUGCUGCUGGAGAAGCCACUGAGAAGGGUCCAGGUUUGUAGAGGCAUCAGGUGAACUGGCCACCACCCUGCUCCUGCCGUGACCCUAGCCCUGCCUAUGUGAUCGCCUGUGAACUCACCUACAGUAGAGAUCCUCUUUCGUGAGUUCUGCCUCUCAGAAGGGCUCUGCUCCUUGCCAGAGCAAGUGGAGUGAGCAGCUCAUUACCCAGCCAUGGGAUGACCCUGGAACCCUGCAGGCUGGGGUAAUGGCCCUCUUCUUAAGUUUAUAUAAGCCCUGAGUCCCAUAUCCUUACAAAGGGGUUGCAGUGCCCAUGCAGUCCCAAGAGGUAGGCUUGGAGGUAGACACUUGAGCAGCCUGCUGUUUCCAGAUAUGGAGAAGGGGGCUGAGAGCAAGGUGGAACUGGGCCAGGCUCCCCUUAGAUGCUCAUCCCCAAAGCUCCCCCCUUCCCAGUUGGCUGCAGUUUUCCCUCUUGCCCUUGGCUCCUGGAGCAAAAAUGUUAAGGGUGCUCCUUUCCCCUGCCUCCAGUCAGAGCAGACAAGGUCUUGAGGAAGUGUCCCCAGGAACUGCCUUCUAUAGCUCCUGAGGCCUUGGAGCCCAGCGGCUUGAAGUAGUGGCUCCUUUGUUCUGGAGCCCUCUGACAGGGCUCCGUGAGGACUUCUGAAAAGAGGCAACGCUGAGCAGAGUUCACGGUCAAUGUGUCCAGGCAGGUAGCAUACAUAGCUUUUCACCGAGACUCCUCUUCACCUGUACAGGCACAGGACAACAUAUCCCAGGCUCUAGGGCCAAAGGCCACUGAGGGGUCUCCACCCUAGGAACUCAUAGCCCCCUUCCGAUCUAGGCGACAUGUAAACUGGCCACCGUGCACUCACAUUAGGCUAUCUUGACAGAUUCCAGGGGACACAGGAGGGGGGCUGUGGGAAGGGGUCAUAACUCUCAGUCUCCUUUGUCUCUUUGUUCAGACAGAGUUGUGCCUGUCGCAGACAGCUCUGAAUUAAAGCAUGAACACACACACAG
rnacentral:lncRNA from 1 species